CAAGAUGACCUAAAGCGUGCAACUGGAGAAUUCACCAAGGACGAGAACGAUGCUAACAAACUUAACCGCAUUCUUCAACUCACAGG
rnacentral:sRNA from 1 species